rnacentral:rRNA from 1 species
GACAGAGGGUGCAACCGUUGUUCGGAAUUACUGGGCGUAAAGCGCGUGUAGGCGGCAGGGCAUGUCGGAUGUGAAAGCCCUGGGCUCAACCUAGGAAGUGCAUUCGAAACUGCGGGGCUGGAGUCCUGGAGAGGAAGGCGGAAUUCUCGGUGUAGAGGUGAAAUUCGUAGAUAUCGAGAGGAACACCGGUGGCGAAGGCGGCCUUCUGGACAGUGACUGACGCUGAGACGCGAAAGCGUGGGGAGCAAACAGG